GACGAACGCUGGCGGCGUGCCUAAUACAUGCCAGUAGAACGCACAGUUUAUACCGUAGCUUGCUACACCAUAGACUGUGAGUUGCGAACGGGUGAGUAACGCGUAGGUAACCUGCCUGGUAGCGGGGGAUAACUAUUGGAAACGAUAGCUAAUACCGCAUAAUAUUGAUUAUUGCAUGAUAAUUAAUUGAAAGGUGCAAUUGCACCACUACCAGAUGGACCUGCGUUGUAUUAGCUAGUAGGUGAGGUAACGGCUCACCUAGGCGACGAUACAUAGCCGACCUGAGAGGGUGAUCGGCCACACUGGGACUGAGACACGGCCCAGACUCCUACGGGAGGCAGCAGUAGGGAAUCUUCGGCAAUGGAUGAAAGUCUGACCGAGCAACGCCGCGUGAGUGAAGAAGGUUUUCGGAUCGUAAAGCUCUGUUGUAAGAGAAGAACGGGUGUGAGAGUGGAAAGUUCACACUGUGACGGUAUCUUACCAGAAAGGGACGGCUAACUACGUG
rnacentral:rRNA from 1 species